rnacentral:rRNA from 1 species
GAUGAACGCUGACAGAAUGCUUAACACAUGCAAGUCAUGGGCGAAGCUGCGCUUGCGCAGUCUAGCCAAGGCGGACGGGUGAGUAACGCGUAAGGAACUUGCCCUGCAGACAGGGAUAACAGACGGAAACGACUGAUAACACCUUGCAUUGUCAGGCUGGCGCAUGCCGGCCUGAUGAAAGGAGACGCUGCAGGAGAGCCUUGCGUCCUAUUAGCUAGUUGGUGGGGUAACGGCCCACCAAGGCGAUGAUAGGUAGCCGGCCUGAGAGGGUGAACGGCCACAAGGGGACUGGGAUCCGGCGCUUACUCCUACGGGAGGCAGCAGUGGGGAAUAUUGGACAAUGGGGGCAACGCUGAUCCAGCACUUCUGUGUGCACGAAGAAGGUUUUCGGAUUGUAAAGUGCUUUCAGCAGGGAAGAAGAAAGUGACGGUACCUGCAGAAGAAGCGACGGCUAACUACGUG